UACGGAGGGUGCAAGCGUUAUCCGGAUUCACUGGGUUUAAAGGGUGCGUAGGUGGGUCUGUAAGUCCGUGGUGAAAUCUCCAAGCUUAACUUGGAAACCGCCGUGGAUACUAUAGAUCUUGAAUAUUGUGGAGGUAAGCGGAAUAUGUCAUGUAGCGGUGAAAUGCUUAGAUAUGACAUAGAACACCGAUAGCGAAGGCAGCUUGCUACACAAUCAUUGACACUGAGGCACGAAAGCGUGGGGAUCAAACAGG
rnacentral:rRNA from 1 species